rnacentral:tRNA from 1 species
GCGCGCGUGGUGGAAUUUGGUAGACACGCAGCCUUGAGGUGGCUGUGGGAGCAAUCCUGUGCUGGUUCAAGUCCAGUCGCGCGCACCA